rnacentral:rRNA from 1 species
UACGGGGGGGGCAAGCGUUGUUCGGAUUUACUGGGCGUAAAGGGCGCGUAGGCGGCCACUGCAAGUCAGUUGUGAAAUCUCCGGGCUUAACCCGGAAAGGUCAACUGAUACUGCAGGGCUAGAGUGCAGAAGGGGCAACUGGAAUUCUCGGUGUAGCGGUGAAAUGCGUAGAUAUCGAGAGGAACACCUGCGGCGAAGGCGGGUUGCUGGGCUGACACUGACGCUGAUGUGCGAAAGCUAGGGGAGCGAACGGG